UCGAGAAUUUUUCACAAUGGGGGCAACCCUGAUGGAGCGACGCCGCGUGGAGGAUGAAGGUUCUUGGAUUGUAAACUCCUGUCACUGCAGAACAAGGGUAGCCGGUUGAAUAUUCCGGCUAUUUGAUGGUAUGCGGAGAGGAAGGGACGGCUAACUCUGUGCCAGCAGCCGCGGUAAGACAGAGGUCCCGAGCGUUGUUCGGAUUCAUUGGGCGUAAAGGGUGUGUAGGAGGUCGGGUAAGUCAGGUGUGAAAUCUCACAGCUUAACUGCGAAACUGCGCUUGAUACUGCUCGGCUAGAGGAUCGGAGGGGGUAACGGAAUUCAUGGUGUAGCAGUGAAAUGCGUAGAUAUCAUGAGGAACACCGGUGGCGAAGGCGGUUACCUGGAAGAUUCCUGACUCUGAAACACGAAAGCCAGGGGAGCAAACGGGAUUAGAUACCCCCGUAGUCC
rnacentral:rRNA from 1 species